CGUAGGGUGCAGGCGUUAAUCGGAAUUACUGGGCUAAAGCGUGCGCAGGCGGUUUCUUAAGUCAGAUGUGAAAGCCCCGGGCUUAACCUGGGAACUGCGUUUGAAACUGGGAGACUUGAGUGUGGCAGAGGGGGGUGGAAUUCCACGUGUAGCAGUGAAAUGCGUAGAUAUGUGGAGGAACACCGAUGGCGAAGGCAGCCCCCUGGGUUAACACUGACGCUCAUGCACGAAAGCGUGGGGAGCAAACAGGAUUAGAUACCCUGGUAGUCCACGCCCUAAACUAUGUCAACUGGUUGUCGGGGGAUUAACUCCCUUGGUAACGAAGCUAACGCGUGAAGUUGACCGCCUGGGGAGUACGGCCGCAAGGUUA
rnacentral:rRNA from 1 species